UGGUUUUAGGAAAUAGUACUUAAACAUAAUAUUGUGCGGUGUGAUGAUGAAUUACGCAAGCCAUUGAGUAAAUAUAUUUUUUCUAUAGAUAACGUUGCAGUGAUAAAACUUCUUGAUCGAAAACAACUCCAUUAAAUAAGUGUCCAGGGAGUUGAUACUGUGAAGAGACAUUUUCACAGGAAACAUUAACCAAUAUCUAAAUUUUAGGUAAUGUAAAUGCACUACUCGAGACGCUCGGCCGCGUACCUCUGCGAGGUUAGUUAUAGAGGAGGAUAGUCGCUGCAGGGAACUCCUCCGCUGUGUGGUGACUAGCUUGCGAACUACAUUAAUCGGUCGCCUCAGCGCUAGCAUCGUCUGUGGUGCGAAGAAUGACUCAGAAGGUGUCACGUCCCCACUAUCCUCCUGAAUCGACGGAACCUUUAAACCAAAAUACUUUUCUAGGAACACAAUACGUAUAUAAGCUUUGUUAUUUUGAUGUGCUUGUUACAAGUGCUGCCUAAGAUACCGUAUUGUUUGUUGUUUGAUAACAGGUAUUUUGUACGCAAUAUUAAAUAAAAUAAUGAUUUACGAGUUGUA